rfam:Drosophila ananassae strain TSC#14024-0371.13 Ctg01_19339, whole genome shotgun sequence.
GUAUUGGCUGGUUCGAAGACCACAAAACGAUUACUUAAGUUGCGUGGUUCAAAAACACAAGCCAAGAGCAAUUUUUGUCACGACGGUCUCUGAUUCGGCACACCACAGUCGUCUCAGUAACUUUUACGUGCAAUUACAAUC